rnacentral:rRNA from 1 species
CCUGAGAAACCCAAAAGAUCGAAUGGGGAGAUUCAUCGCAAGCGUGGCUGGCUUCCGUGCGGCUCGCGAUGGCCGGGACCUCGGUCUCGCGUCACGCGUCCGCUGCGGUAUGUCCGGCUACGUCGGCGUGCACUUCUCCCCCUAGUAGGACGUCGCGACCCGUUGGGUGUCGGACCGAUGGCCGUUUGGUCGCCUGCCUCGUCGCGUUCACGCGUGCACGUGGCAGACCGAAAUUGGUCGAGCGUCCGGCUGCCCGGCGGUAUAGAACGCUAUUGAACGGUAAUGAGCCGCAUUAAGUGCGUUCAGGCUCGUCGGCAGGCUCGUCUCGCCCGGAUUUACGGACCUAGCGCCGUUGCCGGGUGCUUGGCGUGGCCGUUAGUCGACGAUGUCCUCGGACUGGCUCUAAAAUUCGAAAGGAUUACCGGUCGGCGACGCUACUGCUUUGGGUACUUUC